GAUGAACGCUGGCGGCGUGCCUAAUACAUGCAAGUCGAGCGAACGGGCGAGAAGCUUGCUUCUCUGAUGUUAGCGGCGGACGGGUGAGUAACACGUGGAUAACCUACCUAUAAGACUGGGAUAACUUCGGGAAACCGGAGCUAAUACCGGAUGAUAUUUUGAACCGCAUGGUUCAAAAGUGAAAGACGGUCUUGCUGUCACUUAUAGAUGGAUCCGCGCUGCAUUAGCUAGUUGGUAAGGUAACGGCUUACCAAGGCAACGAUGCAUAGCCGACCUGAGAGGGUGAUCGGCCACACUGGAACUGAGACACGGUCCAGACUCCUACGGGAGGCAGCAGUAGGGAAUCUUCCGCAAUAGGCGAAAGCCUGACGGAGCAACGCCGCGUGAGUGAUGAAGGUCUUCGGAUCGUAAAACUCUGUUAUUAGGGAAGAACAUAUGUGUAAGUAACUGUGCACAUCUUGACGGUACCUAAUCAGAAAGCCACGGCUAACUACGUG
rnacentral:rRNA from 1 species